GAUGAAGAACGUAGUGAAAUGCGAUAAGUAAUGCGAAUUGCAGAAUUCAGUGAAUCAUCGAAUCUUUGAACGCACAUUGCGCCCGUCAGUAUUCUGGCGGGCAUGCCUGUUCGAGCGUCAUUACGCCCCUCAAGUCCCCUGUGGACUUGGUGUUGGGGAUCGGCGAGGCUGGUUUUCCAGCACAGCCGUCCCUUAAAUUAAUUGGCGGUCUCGCCGUGGCCCUCCUCUGCGCAGUAGUAAAACACUCGCAACAGGAGCCCGGCGCGGUCCACUGCCGUAAAACCCCCCAACUUUUUAUAGUUGACCUCGAAUCAGGUAGGACUACCCGCUGAACUUAAGCAUAUCAAUAAGCGGAGGA
rnacentral:misc_RNA from 1 species